rnacentral:lncRNA from 1 species
GACUUGUCCGCGUGAGGAUGCGGUUCACGGCUCAGGUUUGCCUUUUCCAGAAUAUCACAUACAUGGAAUCAUCUAUAAGGUGCAGGAGAACUGGCAAGACCCCAAGAAUGGAUAUGCCUCCUUAAACGUGUGUCCUGUGUGCCCCGCUCACCUUACCCGAGACCCAGCCCCAGCCCCGGUCACAGAGGGAGAAAUUUGAAUAUAAGACACAAUGGAAAUAGCAAAACCAGUUCCACUCUCCUUAGUCUUCUAAACAGAAAGAGGGAUUCGAUGUGGGAAGCAGUAAAAGUUUAUUCCACACCAGGAGAUUUUAUGUUUUUGCCCCUAGAGCACUUUUCCCCUUGUUUUACUCGUGUUUUGGAAAUCUAGAAGACUUGCAAGUAUGGAGGAAAACAAUGAAAACAGCCUAACUGUUGGAUAUUUUUAAAAGAAAAUUCAGCAGAGCAGUUUACCCCCUUCCAGAUGUGGUUUCGCAUGGGCACAGUGGGACGGAAACUAGAUUCUCAACAGCAAAAGCCUUAUUUUCACUGAGAGUGGUUGAAGGAAAAUUAUUGUAUGCUGUUAAAAGAACUGAAAAACAGCAUGUGAAUCUCAUCAGCUGGAUAUAUUGUGACAACAUCAGCUGAUUGUUAUGCAUCUCAAAAUAUGAAACUCCAUCAAUUUUUCUAAAUUUGCUUUUGCACAUCAGUGGAACUUGAGCGAGCUAUCUAUCUAUCUACCUACCUAUCUAUCUAUCUAUCUAUCUAUCUAUCUAUCUAUCUAUCUAUCUAUCAUCUAGUCUAGAAAGCUGAGAAGGAAAGCAGAGACCAAAAGCCCAGCUGGAAGGGCACCUGUUGGCUGCAUCUGUUGACUGCACCUGUUAGUAGCAUCAGGAGGCACACCUGCACAAGGUGUGGAGUAGUCUGGGGGCUUGUGGGAGAGGGAGAUGAUCUGAUCGACACCACCAGUCUUCCCGCAUCCUCAGCACCACCUCCAUCCUCAUCGGAUGUAGAUACACUAUCCAGCCUCAGUGACUCGCUCCAGCUCACGCACCUGCUACAUGGACAUCGUGGAGGCCAAGCUUCUGAUCUUGGCAGGACAGUGGCUCUGCACAGCUGACCAUUUGACACCCCAGGACCUAGGGAUGGACAUGGUGAAAUAUAACAUUCUGAUCUGGCCCUAAAUCUGCUGCUUGGUCACAGAAGGCCAAGGGAAGGCUUAUGCGGUUAAGGGAAAAAACUCACCCGAAGCAUAUCAAGUGUUGUCUGCUGUCAUCAGGCUCUGAGCAGUUCUCUCUACAAUGAUGCUUAGAAAACCAGGAAGAAAUACUCCCACCUCCAAGGCUGUGUUGCUAAGUGUGUGUUUCCAGAGUUGCCUUGGGCAAAGUCCGUUGCCCAUCACCACAGCUUCGGGUCAUCGCUGCCACGAGGACUCCCCCUUCACAGGUCAGCUGCACCCAGCACCCAUCAAAACCACACGGAGAUCACCUGUGACAACCGGGGAACAGACAACUUUGCACGUUCAUGCCCCAGGUGUUAGUGCAGGUGCUCUCGGGUGAUGGGCUUAAACCUGCCCUGAACUCUCUCUGUGUGUGUUAAAGCUUUCAAAUAUGAAACAUUUCUGCCCUGGGCAGGACAAUAGGUCCACACAGCUGACCACGUGACACCCACGACCCUUUCAAAUAUUUCUAAAAGUUUCAGAUUCUC